rnacentral:rRNA from 1 species
CGCAGCGAAAUGCGAUACCUAGUGUGAAUUGCAGAAUUCCGCGAAUCAUCGAGUUUUUGAACGCAAGUUGCGCCCGAGGCUUUUGCCGAGGGCAUGUCUGUCUGAGCGUCCAU